CUUUGUUUAUUUUCCUUUUUGAAAUUAUUUAUUUUAUGAAGUUAAAUUUUUUUAUUUCCAAUUAUAGUUUGAAAGACCAGGUUGCAGUGGUGAAGUUGAAAGCAAUACAGUACAAAACUCUAUAUUUGAAAGACCAGGUUGCAGUGGUGAAGUUGAAAGCAAUACAGUACAAAACUUUACAGUUUCUUGUGAAGGGAUUAUAGAAGUCAGAAAGGAAACUGAAAAACAGAUUAAAGAAAUCAUAAGUCUCAAUCAGAUGGACUGUUUAAGUAAAUCAAAAAAUCUAUUAUGUGAAACUUCUAAAAUACCUGAGUCCCAACUUGAUUUAUCCUAAAUUCAUUUUCCAUCAAAGUUUCCAAUCACGAGGGCGUCCUAAGUCAAAAGGGAAAAAAAAUGCUGUUGGGCUGCGUAAAGUUUCGAAGAUCUGUUUGCCUUAUGAACAGAAGACCGUUAAAGAAAAAGUUCAUCGUAAGUAUACAUUAUUAUUUACAUAUCAGCAAUCAGAAAUUUAAAAUAGGUUUUGGUUUAAUAACUCAAUUUGAUGAAUAAUUUAAGACACUUUAAUUUUUUUACAAUUUUGCAAGUUAACCUCCAAGAGAAGUCACACGUUAGGGUAAGUCACGGUAGAGGAAGUCAAUAGUUUCGCAAAGUUUGACCUAUAUGUGUUUCAAAACUAAUUUAAGAAAUACCUAUAAUUGAAUUGGAAUUUUAUACUUCACUAGCCACCUCGUAAAAUGAGAUCACCGUUUAAAAAUACUCGAACAAACGUUAUAGGUUUUUUUUUACAAGAGAUGAUGAGUUUAAAUCCUAAUUCUUUCUUUAUUUUUAGUUUUGCUGCGGCGUCUGCUGAAAGGUGGAAAACCUAAAGAUGUUACGGUUGUUA